rnacentral:misc_RNA from 1 species
CAUUACAUCCACAGAUAUGUUGACUUUUAGUGUAUCGCUUGUACACUGAGAAAAAGUGUAAAUUACAUAACACAGUCUCCCAAAUCAAAACACGAUAGUUAAUCUUCCAUGUUUACGAUAGUAUCAUAAGAUAAUAAGACAAUUCUAAGAUACACCCUGAAACAUGGAUAAUAGAUAGAAAGUACAGUCAAAUUAAUACCUUUUCUCCUUUUUUGACAAUGACGAGAGCGAGUACUGAAAGGUUGGAAUCGACUAUGCAUCCACGGACAGAUUUACGUUUACGCUCACCAUCACGUCUAGGAUGUUUGAUAAAUAAAUACUACCAACUGAUCAUUGAACAAGUAAGAUUUAUUAUCUUGAAGUCAAUAAUAAAUC